GUGGGGAGUAUUGGACAAUGGGGGCAACCCUGAUCCAGCAAUGCCGCGUGGGUGAUGAAGGCCUUCGGGUUGUAAAGCCCUUUCGGCGGGGACGAUGAUGACGGUACCCGCAGAAGAAGCCCCGGCUAACUUCGUGCCAGCAGCCGCGGUAAUACGAAGGGGGCUAGCGUUGUUCGGAAUGACUGGGCGUAAAGGGCGCGUAGGCGGCGCAUUUAGUCAGGCGUGAAAGCCCUGGGCUCAACCUAGGAAUUGCGUUUGAUACUGGUGCGCUGGAGUGCGGGAGAGGAUGGUGGAAUUCCCAGUGUAGAGGUGAAAUUCGUAGAUAUUGGGAAGAACACCGGUGGCGAAGGCGGCCAUCUGGACCGUUACUGACGCUGAGGCGCGAAAGCGUGGGGAGCAAACAGGAUUAGAAACCCUAGUAGUCC
rnacentral:rRNA from 1 species